rnacentral:rRNA from 1 species
GCCGUUGGGGCCGUGCUUACACAUGCAAGUCGAACGAUGAAGCCCUGCUUGCAGGGUGGAUUAGUGGCGAACGGGUGAGUAACACGUGAGUAACCUGCCCCCGACUCUGGGAUAAGCCCGGGAAACUGGGUCUAAUACCGGAUAUGACUUCCUACUGCAUGGUGGGUUGUUGAAAGAUUUAUCGGUGGGGGAUGGACUCGCGGCCUAUCAGCUUGUUGGUGAGGUAAUGGCUCACCAAGGCGACGACGGGUAGCCGGCCUGAGAGGGUGACCGGCCACACUGGGACUGAGACACGGCCCAGACUCCUACGGGAGGCAGCAGUGGGGAAUAUUGCACAAUGGGCGGAAGCCUGAUGCAGCGACGCCGCGUGAGGGAUGACGGCCUUCGGGUUGUAAACCUCUUUCAGUAGGGAAGAAGCGAAAGUGACGGUACCUGCAGAAGAAGCGCCGGCUAACUACGUGCCAGCAGCCGCGGUAAUACGUAGGGCGCAAGCGUUAUCCGGAUUUAUUGGGCGUAAAGAGCUCGUAGGCGGUUUGUCGCGUCUGCCGUGAAAGUCCGAGGCUCAACCUCGGAUCUGCGGUGGGUACGGGCAGACUAGAGUGAUGUAGGGGAGACUGGAAUUCCUGGUGUAGCGGUGAAAUGCGCAGAUAUCAGGAGGAACACCGAUGGCGAAGGCAGGUCUCUGGGCAUUUACUGACGCUGAGGAGCGAAAGCAUGGGGAGCGAACAGGAUUAGAUACCCUGGUAGUCCAUGCCGUAAACGUUGGGCACUAGGUGUGGGGGACAUUCCACGUUUUCCGC